rnacentral:tRNA from 1 species
GGCGAUAUAACUCAGUGGUAGAGUACAUGUCUAGCAUGCAUGAGGUCCUGGGUUCAAUCCCCGGUACUGCCA